UACGGAGGGUGCAAGCGUUAUUCGGAUUUACUGGGUUUAAAGGGUGUGUAGGCGGCUCUCUAAGUCAGUGGUGAAAGCCUGGCGCUUAACGCCAGAACGGCCACUGAUACUGGAGAACUUGAGUCAAGAAAAGGUAGGCAGAAUUCAUGGUGUAGCAGUGAAAUGCAUAGAUACCAUGAGGAAUUCCAACAGCGAAGGCAGCUUACUAGUCUUUGACUGACGCUGAGGCACGAAAGCGUGGGGAGCGAACAGG
rnacentral:rRNA from 1 species